GUGGGAUGCUGCCUAGAGUCCCUGUGGAUCUACAGGGGACACCAUCACCUCAGAAGAAGGUCUUGUUUUGGUGGACAUGGCCACUGGGGGACCAGAUGUUUCUUUUUUUGUGACAGGGUCUCACUCUGUCACCCAGACUGGAGUGCAUUGGUGCAAUCUCGGCUCACCACAACCUUCACUUCCCAGGCUCAAGUGAUUCUCCUGCCUCAGUCUCCCAAGUAGCUGGGAUUACAGGCACCUGCCACCACACCCAGCUAAUUUUUGUAUUUUUAGUAGAGGUGGGGUUUCACCCUGCUGGAUAGGCUGGUCUUGAACUCCUGAUCUCAAAUGAUCCACCCGCCUGGGCCUCCCAAAAUGCUGGGAUUACAGGCGUGGGCCACUGCGCCCGGCCAACCAGACGUUUCUUAAGAUUCAUCCUAAUUCUGAGGUUUGACCACUCCUUGGCUUGACAUUCAAGGCUUUCCACAAUCCAGUCCCAGCUCCCAACUCCCUGGGGGGCCAUCUUCCCACUGUGAGCAAGGACAGCAGAGGGGAGGCAGAAGGAUAGUCUUUGAACCCAAAGAGUUAAAAGAUCGUCAUAUUCCUUGCUACAUCAAUGACACCUGACACAACAUAAGUGCUCAAUUUCUGGUAUUGGAAUGAAAUAAUACAAUAAAAUCCAGG
rnacentral:lncRNA from 1 species